AGCCUCGUAGCUCAGCUGGUAGAGCGUGCGCGUACAAAGCAUAGGAGGCGUCCAUGUGUGGGUUCGAAUCCCACUGAGACUA
rnacentral:tRNA from 1 species